UUGUCCAUGAUCUAAUAGCUUUUGCGGAAAUCGAAAAGUCGAUUCCGGCGCGUUUUUCGACGAAAUUUGCCGAAAGAACGCGGUUUCGGUUCGAAUUUCUUCCGACGUGGUUUGAUUAUCCUGUAAAUUAUCGCUGAGCCUUAUUGGCUGGUCACCAUCAUCAUUUUGUGGGUUCGGUGAUAAUGGGUGAGCGACGGUGGGUUCCGGUGUCGAAAUAGACACUUUCGGGAAUCCGGAUUCGUACAAUUAUCCGGCGAUAAUUGUGUAGUGGUGUUAUCUUGUGUUUGCUGUCAAA
rnacentral:lncRNA from 1 species